ACCCUUUCCGGAUCAUAAGCAUGAUGACUGGGUACUGACAGAUUUGUGUGACAUGUGUCUCCCUUAAAACUUGUUACACACAUUACCCAUCUGAUG
rnacentral:snoRNA from 1 species